rfam:Pelosinus fermentans B4 ctg9, whole genome shotgun sequence.
UAAACCACAUGUAAAUAGUCUCGUAUAAUUUUGGGGAUAUGGCCCAGAAGUUUCUACCGGCAGCCGUAAAUUGCCUGUCUACGAGUGAAAGUGUAUCUAAG